rnacentral:sRNA from 1 species
CAUGCCCCUUUAAGUGUUUUUUGCAAAGUACAUGAAUGAUGGUUGAAAAGAGCAUUUGAAACACAAUUUUUUUUCAGUAUUGGUACAUAUCUAUUACAAUAUACACCUCAUGGUCAUGAGCAUAAAUUUGUUUUGCCAUGCAUACAUAGUUUUUGUUGUGAAGUGAAUUUGCUUCAGUAAUAUGAUUAUGGUGAGAAGAAUUAAGAAGGAACCUUAUCAUUUUUAAUUGUUUUUACUUUUCACCCAUAAUUUUAUAUGUGUUGUACAACUUUGUCUAAUGUAUCAAAGACACCAUAUUAUUGAUAUAUGAUUUGUGAUUAUCUGCCUUCUUAUGUUCCCACAGACCUUUAGGUAUCUGCAAAUAACGGCUUUGUUUUUUGAAUAUCGUCAUUUACCUCUACGUAACUGUAUCAUAUUGGUCAUAUUGAUUUUCGGAAAAAUAUUUUCCACGUGAAAUUGCAACCUUCAUAUAACAUGGAAAUUUUCAAAAGAAAACAAUUGAAAACUUUUCACAUGCAUCGAUUUGAACUUUCUUACAGUGUAAGGAAUUGAUACAUAUAAAAAUAUAGAUAUUGAUCAAACAAAGGAUUUAUGGGAACAUUAGACAGACUGCAGAUGAACGAGAUGGUUUAGGAAAUUGUGCAAUGAUAAAGUGGGUUUUUUUUAUUUGUACAUAUAUAUGAUUAUUCCUAUGCCAGUUGUUUAUGUUUUUUCUGGUAAUUUUCAACACAUGUACAUAUGUAGCUUGUUUACAUAAACUAAUAAUAUAUGGAAACUAUAAAAACAAUAAAAAGCAGUC